rnacentral:tRNA from 6 species
CUCCGAAUGGUGUAGUUGGUUCAUCACGUUCGACUGUAAAUCGAAAGGUCCCUAGUUCGAUUCUGGGUUCGGAGA